UUUGCUGCAUGUAAGUUAUAAGUAGAAACAUAUUAAGACAUUGCAGCCAUUCAUCAGUUAACUUUUACUAUCUGUACUCAGAGAAAUGAGCCUCCCAGGAACUUCUCAAAGGAUCUAUUCUUUCAUUAGCUAAGUAAUAUUGAGAGAGAUGUUUAUGUCACCGUGUUAGAACUGAAGAGAUUGAUUACAGCUGAAUUUACUUAAAGCUGCACCAUCCACAUUUUAUCUAGAUUUUGUUCUCUUUUUCAGAUAGAUUGUAAAGUCCUGUACGACGCAGUUAUCUACAAAGUUGGAGAAAAUUGUUUUGGCUUUAAAUUUAUUUGAAAAUUAUAGAAUUGCCUCACAAAGAACUGAUGGUCAAGGCAACAUGAGAGAUGCUGUCAAACUCAAGUAGGAUUCAGGAACAUUUUGAGCAGUACCGGGCGACUGCAUACAUUUGAAAUAGGUUUGGAAUCAUGACAUCAGAAAGUGUGGUGUCAGGUGGAGGUUUGAGGCAAAGGGCUCAGAGUCAAUGGAAGUGAUAAUAAUGGAGGCACUGGAUCAAUGAAGUAGGAUUUCGCCUAGCCCAGCACAACGGCACCAGUUCCUUCCACCACUGCUCCACGCAGCUGCUGUGGGCUGAGCUCUAUCCACUCGCUCAGCCAUCCUCCACAGGGGCUUCUGCAGCUGCCACCACAAAACACCAAGACGCGAGACCCCCGCAACAAUGCCUGUCUCCUCCAGCAACCACUCAUCUGCUUCCAUGCACCGAGGCUUCCACAGCCCACUUCCCAGGUCAAUCGUGGAACUUUUCGUGGUCGCUUUUCGUGGCCAUGGGAGGUGAGUUUCAGGAAUGUUUACAGCGGCUACGUUUCUGCUUCACCCUCCAUCACCACCACCAUCAUCAUCAUCGUGAUCGACAAUUAGAGUGCCAUCAAUACUUUUAGGUGUCUUUUUGAUGGAACAAGAAUUAGGUCUGUUCCUUAAAAGAACUCCAAAUUGUUGAUCUUCUCGGAACCCAUACAUUCCGGUUUGCCUGGACAAGUAUGCAGUACAUUUUUCCUUCAUUUUAACCCUCAGAACUUUGUUUGCUCAGGCAAUUAUUUCCAUCAAUUUGUCCUUCCCCAUACACCAUCCUAAAACAAAACCCGGCAUCAAUAGAACAGAAACAUUCAUGUCCAGCACAGUUGACUUUGUCUUAAUAAAACAUAUUUUGAUGUAGUAUUGCCCCAGUCACAACAAAAAUGCCUUGUUGUAUUUGUAUUAACCAAAGAUUUGUGGCCGAGCUCUGCAGUUUCCAAGCAAUACAACAAUGGCACAGAUGCAAGGUACCGAUAAAACAAAAAGCCAUAAAAGUCAGGAAAGCUAACAAUGACACAAUAGACAAAGACGCAAGAGAUAGUUGUGUAGCAAAGGAAGUAAUACUGUGACAUUGGGCAUGUAAUUACUUCCAAAACAAGAUUAAUACAGAUAUAAUAAAUAUGAUUUCUGGAUUUACAUCAAAGCUAUGUUUCAGUUAUAUCUAGCUUCCAGUUCUCCAAAGCAAGGCCAGAUAAUCCAUUCAUCAAAAUGUAUGCAAAACUGAUUGAUUAUGAAAGUCACUAUGUCCUAAUAUGAAGUGUGAACACUUGUGAACAUCACAUUUUAUCGCGUUCGAUAUCUUGAAAUGUCUGACUUAAUGGGUAUAGGUUUAUCAAUAAAAUAAACACCUUAUUAAUAACAACAAUGAUCAAAUUGCAAACAUAUUUUUAUUUUCGAUUGAUUACUAAAUCAAAUAAUAUAUGAAUUUUCCAAUGCAGUUAUUUCCUUCAGAUAUUUGUUUUAAUUUUAAGGGCAAGUCCCAUCUUUCAGUUUACAAUACAAUCUAUAUAUCCCAAUACUUUUAUGGAAUAUUGAUAAAAACUAUGAAUUCCACAGCAUAUUGCAAUUUAUAGUCACAGUUCUGAAUGAAAAUGAAAUACUCACAAUGAAUGAUCACGGACAAAUUAAACAGAUAACAAAUGUAGGGAAGAAAAUGGAUAUAAUAAUUAUUAUACUAUGUGUUCUCUUAUUAAUAAAUAUUUGAAACCUUAAUGUACUUUUGGCAUUUAAAAGAAUAUAUAUCCAGUUUAAAAAUGCAUGUGCAUGAGUGAUUAUGGUUAAUUUGAAAGGCAUAACUGUGUCUGCAAAUACAGAAGGAAUGCACUGAGCUCGACUUUCAAAAUAAAGUGCAUUUUUCAUGAUUCAGAUUUGAUGCUCGUUCAAAUGAAUUUACAUCCACAUUUUUAUGCUUUUUGUACAUUUUAUUUUAUACCUGCCUUUUAAACUAGAUGGAAGCUUCAGCAGGCAAGAAGACAACUCAGGUUCAUAGAGGUGCAACCAUUGACAGCCAUUGAGGAAUGUGAGAGAAAUGAAUGAUACCCUCUUGAGAUGCCUUUUCUCGCACAUUGGCAGCUUAUUCACAUUACUAUUUUGCUGCUUUUUCUUCAGCGAUCACUCGGGGCCUUUCUGUUAGCUUGGGGUCACUGGGGCUAUGUCCUCUUUCAAACAAAUUCAGCUGUAGUCAGGGUUUUUUGCGAUGACAGAUUGUGACUGCACGAGUGAGCUGUGUGACUAGUGUGGGACUGUCACUUUAAUCCAACUGUUUCAAGAGUGCUAUGGAGAACAUCAAUACAUGCCUGCAAUUUAUUUGCAGGGAAGAGGGUGGGGAGAGAUUUCUGAGCAACAUUUGUUUCUGAACCAUUGAAAAUCAGUUAAUGCGCCGUUAACAUGAAAAAUUGAUAGGAAACAGGUGUUUUAAACAUGUACAUUUCCAAACCAAAUAAUAUUCCAAAUACUAAAUAAUAUAGUAAAUGGAACUAGAGCAAUUAGUCAUUGGAUUGUUACUACCAACAAUAAAUGAAAAUAAGGUUGCAAAAUUAAUACCUUUACAGAAAGAGGAAGUUUCUAGGUGCAUUCAUUGACAUUAUUAAUUUACAAAUGCUACUUUUUCUCCCAAAUGAAAUGUGAUAUAAACAUUUUGCAUGCUGGAUAUCAUUUUCAUCUUAUUGAACCAUUGUUUGGAACAGAACAGCUAUAAAAAUCACAACAUGCAAUUUCUAAAUGCUGAAAUUUCUGACAGAAUUAGACAAGCAUUCAGAAUCUCAGAAUCAUUCUCCACUUAUUGUUUUAUAAGAUCAUGCUGAGGAAAAUAUUUCAUAAUUUUAUUUUCAGGAUGGGCGACGAAUCUCAACGGCAGCUAUGGAUGUUUAAAAAAUACAUUUUAAUAAUGUGAUAGCCACAUUAAU